AACGAACGCUGGCGGCGUGCCUAACACAUGCAAGUCGAGCGCGAAUGGAGCAAUCCUAGUAGAGCGGCGCACGGGUGCGUAACACGUGGGUAAUCUGCCUCAAAGAUCGGAACAACCUGCCGAAAGGCUGGCUAAUACCGGAUAAGCCUACGGACUCUUCGGGGUCUGAAGGAAAAGGUGGCCUCUGUAUACAAGCUAUCACUUUGAGAUGAGCCCGCGGCCCAUCAGCUAGUUGGCGGGGUAAUGGCCCACCAAGGCAACGACGGGUAGCUGGUCUGAGAGGACGAUCAGCCACACUGGAACUGAGACACGGUCCAGACUCCUGCGGGAGGCAGCAGUGGGGAAUUUUGCACAAUGGGCGAAAGCCUGAUGCAGCAACGCCGCGUGUGUGAUGAAGGUCUUCGG
rnacentral:rRNA from 1 species